AAUAACUCCAUUUUUCAGUUUUUUAUACAACGUUUUGACUAUUCGUCUUAUUUAAAUUUUUUUUGCGAUUAAUAUUUUUAUUGUUACCAGACGAUAAAAUAUAAAUAAUACUAUAUGUGUGACUAAUUUUUUAAAGUUUUUUUAUAAAUCUUUUAAAUAAGACGAAUGGUCAAACGUUCGGCACAGAGAAACA
rnacentral:pre_miRNA from 1 species